AUACAGCUUGAGAACAAUAUUAUAAAAAUAUAAUUUUUCAACAAUGCUUGAGAAACACUUAUGUUCCACAAACAUUUCUCAAGUCUGUCCCUUGUUGACAAAUUAGUUUUGAUUUUUUGUGAAAAUUGUCAGCAAGAAAUUAUUUUCUUUGGCAAAAAACAAAAUCAGGCGAAUUUAGGACCCAUUUGUGGACCGAACCCUUAAGAUUGGAAGCAUCAAAAAAGUUGCAGGAAUUCAAUAAAUGUGUAGUCUUAGUGGAAGAGAUGCAGAAGUUCAAAUAAGGGAGAAGAAAGCGUCAGGGUAUCAAGGCCACAUGCGGCAGUGACUACUGGGAUGUCCAUCAAGAAAAAACGUUAAAAAUGAUUAAAAACUAAAAAAAAUAAUAUUUUAUACUAUUACAAAAAUAAGCUUAUUAUAAUAUUAUUUUUGUAAGCUUAUUCUACAAUUUCAAGUAUAAGCUUAUAAAUAAAGGUUCCGUUUCGAUUA